AAUUUGGUCAUUCACAUUUCUGGUUUAUUGGUUGGCCAAGCCCGUCAAAAAACACCAACAGCAUGCGAUGGUGGCAUUUGUCCAGAACAGACAGUUUCUUUAUCUUUGAAGAAAAUUCGCAAGAAUCCUUUUAUUGAAUCCAGAUGGACAAUAAAAAAUACGCAGAGAUUUUUGAAUAUCUUGAGAAGCAUUGCUUCCCAGUCAAUGCUUCCCAGGAUGAAAAAAGAUCAAUCAGAAGAGGAAGCAAAAAUCUUGUCAUUCAAGGUAUUGCUAUUUGAUUUUCUAAACUAUUUCUAGAAUAAACGCUGAGCUUUCCUUCAAAAAGAAAGGUAAUGUAUAAUUUUAGCAAAAUGUUUCAAUAAAUUAUGUAUCAAAUGUUUUGAUACUGCUGCUUUUCAAAAGAGACAAUGUUCUUGUAGGCGUUGAACUUCACAAAAGAAAAUCUUUUUUAGGAUGAAAAUUUAGGGAUUAUAUGCUGUUAAAUUCUGAUAAUAUUGAGACUAAAAACUUGAGACUAUAGUGUUUCAUAAAAAUAAAAUUUAAAUCACAUUACAUGCUAUUUAGCAGCUUGAUUGCUCAGAUGAGCUUGAUUGUUAUGAUCAAAUAAUUCUGCUAGGAACAGCCCCUGUGCUUUCCUAAAUUAAUCAGCUUUUUUCUUUAUUUAUUCAAAGUUGGAAUGUGCUUUCCUAAAUAAAUCAGCUUUUUUCUUUAUUUAUUCAAAGUUGGGAUACAUGUUUCUUGUGACACAAAAGCCAAUUAUAUCAAUUAAUUUUACUUACCAUUGCAUAAUAUGUUGAUAGUAUGAAUCAUACAAAGUAAAUGCUACAUAUGUAUUUCUUGUUAAGGUCAUAUAUAAAAUUGAAUGAAGACAAAUUUGAGAUUUUUUCUUGAAUAACUAUAGACAUUAGGGCUGAAACUAUAUGACAUAUAUGACAUUAUAAAUAUUAAUCUAUUUAUUUUGUAAUUAUUAUAUAGUCAUAUAAUAAUUACAUUUGCUUUAAAUUCUUGGGAAAUUCUUAAGUUAUACUUCAUUCUUGGUAAUAUUUUAUGCAUUAAAGGUGGAUUUAAACAAUUCAAUGUUACUGCCUGCACUAUCAAUUUUAUAGAGAAAAACUUGACAGAUUUUCUAAUUUCUUAGGAGAAAAGCUAUUAUACAGAGCCACUUCGAAAGCAAACAAAGGCACGCAAGUGUUUCAUAAGAAUAGGCAGGUCGUGAAAAGUGAAGGAAGGGCCAGGGAAGUGUUCAGAGCAUUUAGUUCAAGCCUCAUGGGUGGCACACUCGCCAAACAAAGACAGGAAAUGCGAUCGCUGAACGAUACUAUUGGCCAAGACUUUGGAAGGAUGUAACAAAUUGGGUAGGAAAUUCAAUAUUUAGUUGAACUAAGUGAGAAAGAGCCUUUUUAGUUAUUAGGCAUAUUGUGAAUGAUUUGAAUAAAUCAUCUCCAUUCAAUUUUGAUUAUAGGAGAGUUGCUGUGAAGAGUGUCAGUGGAAGUGUGACAUCAAGGUUGUUAAAAAAGAGCUGAAGCCUACUAAUGUAAGUCUCUAGAAUAUUCUGGAAUUUUAUUCAACUAGUUCAUAACACUCGUACAUCAGUGACACCAAAGGUAGGACAAAAUUGGCUUUAGCCCCUUCCCUUUUUUGCUAGCUUCUGCUAUGUAGCUGGUUUGGUUGCAAAAAUCCAAAAGUACAAAGAAGUAAAAGAAAGUUGGCAUGAAAGCAAGAAAUGAAAAAUGAAAAACGGGCCAAGCGACAACAAAAGGACUAAGAGAGCACAAAAUUGAAUGGAGGUAGUUUAUUGUCGACUUUAUUAUACAUAGUAUUGCAACUUUUAUGCUAAAUUAUAAAACAAUUAUUGAAGUUGUUAUAUGAUUGUUAAUGUCAAAAUUUCGAUCUCACUAGGUUGAGCAUGAAUGUGAGGUGCGAUCCUCAAAGCGACCAAUGGGUAUUUGUGAGCCAAAAUUCAUACUUGCUACAAAAAGAUUUGGAUUCCAGUGGAAUCUACUGCUUGAAGUACGCUGAUGUUAUUCUCGGAAGGAAACUGUUCCCACAUACAGUUGACACGGCAAGGGAAAGAACUCUUCUUGGCACCUCUCUCAUCACAUUUUCAGGUUUGGUGUAAAAAGUGCAUCAAAGAAAAGCAAUUUCACGUGGCCUGCUUGCCAUCAAGUAUAGAGCAGAAGGCCGAAAUGGAAAAUGGACUGACAGCUCAUAUCUGUUCAUACGCGAGCAGGGAACAGCGGCAUCAGCAUCUUCCACAGUAUCAGCAUCGGCAUCAUCUUCAGUAUCAACGUCAGCAUCGACAUCAGCAUCAUCUUCAGCACAUACACUACCAAAAGCAUCAUCCAAUGAUAAACAACCGUGGCACAGUCCAGAAUCUCCAUUCAUUUUGAAGCGUUGGAGCAAAUGGAUUUCGAAAUGCCAAGGAUGCCAAAGGUUUUACAAGGAUGAAUCAUUUGUAGCUUGCCACAGAGAGGGUAGAAGAAUUUUUAAAAAAAUACUCAAAAAGUUGAUGGUGGUUCACAAUAAUGGCUAUUACCAUGCAAAUUAUUCUUGCAUCAAAGGCCGCCACGAUUACUUUUCAUCAACCAGUCUUGUUGUGCCACAAACACUUCAAAUUUCAGUUGCAGAAAAAAAUUUGUUGAACAGACGAGGAUUUUUAAUUUAAAAUAUUUAUUUUUUCUCUGGUAUUGUUGAUUUGAUGCCGAAAAUCUCAUCUAAUUCUAUUGUAUUGAACCACAAGCAAAGAGCAACAUUUCACUUGUUUCAAACUUUUAAUGAUGAUGUACAGAAAUUUGUGAUUCCAUCAUAUUUUUUAUGUUGAUAAGAAAACUAUACUUCAGCCAACCAGCAAAGGCCAGGUAGAAAAUUACCAAGCAAUCCAUCAAUACCAAACAAGCAUGACCUAGAUCCCAAUUUAAUACAUUGCAAAAUUUUGAUAUUAGCCAACAGAUAGUUUGCCCUUGAAUUAACAGAUUGAGAAGGCUGAAUUAACAGAAAGCAACGAUUGAGAAGGCUGUUUGGUGCUUUUUUCAAUUAUGGAAUGGCUUUUAGUUUAGGUACUACCUAGUCAAAGACAAGGCAAUUAGACAUCACUGUACAAUGUUUGGGUUUGUUUUAACAAGUUGCAUGGCUGGAUCUAAACAGCAAAUUACACAUGUGUGGCUGGGCUAGGAUCAGCUUGCAGUCAUAUAGCUACAAGCUGCAGCCCAUUUUUGUUUGAACCAGCCAACAGCGUCAACAAGCUUGUUAUGUGCAUGAAAAUCUUUAAAGAAACAUGUCAUACCUGCACCUCUCUUUUCUACUGAUUUUAGCCAACCAAUAAGGAAGAUGUUGCCAAAGCCUCGGACACAGAUUACAGUAUACAAGAGCUAUAGCUGUUUGAAUCCAGCAGUUGGAGCAUAUCCUAUUCUUGUGUAUAUGCUAAAAAGCAGUUGUGUUGACUAGUUUGCCACUGUAUAAAAUUAUGGACAGUAGGGGCAGCCUUCUGAAAAAGAUGUAAAAAUUAUAUCCGAUUCUGGUAGUGAAACACACACCAAUAUAGUGCUCACACUUUAUCAAAACCACCAACCAAUCUUUUUGACCCUACAGAUAACACAGAACAGAUGACUACCUACAUAAGUAUGGGAAGAAGUCGUAUACUGAAUAUUGUGAAAGGAACUUUCAAAAUUCCUAUAGACACUCUUUUUUUGGGAAAUGAAAUAUCAGAGUGAAAAUAAAGUAAGAGACUCGACAGUGAGGAGUGUUAUCAGAAUAAGGGGCAGUCAAUCUCUUAUUGAAACAAUUGUGCAAUACAGGCCAGACUUCUCUACAAUUUACAUAACCUAUGGUAAGGAGAUGGAACCUGCUACACGAGAAAUUUGAAAAAGAAGAAUGUAUGAAGCAUAAAAAUUUCAAAGAUGAGCAGGCUUUACUGUUGAUAAUACUGCCACACCACAUUUAGGCUCUUUUUUCUUUCUUCAUGAAUACUGGCACGAAAUUUUCAAAUUCCGGUGUUUCACCCUGUCUUGUAGUCUAAGGCUGAAAUAUAUUUUUGUUAUGAUAAAUGUAGCUCAAAAUAUAAAUGUUUUCAUCUCACCUCAUCUUCAGCCAUGUUGAUCAAUGCAGAGACACAAGGUAUCAUUUGAAAGCUUGUUUUCCCACGAAUUGAACUGAAGCAACACAUUGGCCUUUGUUAUUUUCUGUAUUUAACUGGUGAUUAUAGGCUAGUCAAACAAUAGAGUUGUCACGAGAAACCAUUUCCAUUCAGAAGAUUUCAUUGGCUGAUUUGAAUAGUGGUCAUCUUUGAUUGGACAACCAAGUCAGCUGUUGGCUUUGCAAGAUUGCAUCGGUGUUAACAGUUUUCAUAUUCUUCGACUAAACAUUGCACAAAUAUAGUCAUACUUUUGAUACAUUUCCAUAAUUGGUAGGGUAAAUCAUAAAAAAGUGAUGAGAAAAAGUGAGAAAGAUAAGCAGCCAGAGACAUUUGAAGUACGAAAGACGAAGUUGCAAAGUUCCAGUGCAAGAAAAAUGGAGUUGCUAAACAUCAACUCCCUAAGGGAACUGUCGAAUCAAGUGACUGAUUUAUGAUCUGUCAGAAAGAAGCGCUCAACAAACUUCUUUGUGCUGUUCCAUGCUCUAAGUGUUUUGUUGCUGGUCAAGUAUCCUUGGAAUUGUUGAGGGAUGUUCGUUGGGCCUAUCAGUACGAGCGAUGUUGGUUUGCAAAUCCUGUAAAGAAACAUUAAUGGAAGACUAUCCAUGCCAGCGUGUUGGUGGAUCAAGACAGUCUGAAACUCCUUUCAAAGUCAAUCUUUGAGGGGUGAUGGAAUUUAGAUUGAUAGGCUUUAGACAUUACGAGAUUGGUGUGGACUAAUGACCAUGCCUUGUUCCAUGUCUAAAGACUAUAAAAGCUAUAGCUAUAAAAGUGGUCAAAAUAAAUUACAUGAAGGCAGCAAGGUCACCUAUGAAGCUGUCAUGAAAAAGUCUGUCAAAGCAAUCUUCCAAACUUAUGGAGAGAUGGGCAUGAAACCUGUUCAGGAUUGAGUUUUAAACAUUGGUGUUUCUUUUGAUGGGACAUGGCAGAAAAGGGGUAAUUCUUCCUAUAAUGGUACAGUUGCUGUGAUAGACAUUUUAACAGGUCUGCCCAUUGAUUCUGAAGCACUGAGUAACUUCUGUUACAAAUGUACUGUUGGACCAAAGGAAACAGAUUAUAAUUAUGCUGAGUGGUUUAAAAGGCACCUAAUCAUGAUAGUCCAAGGCAUAUAAAUUGUCCCACUGGGAAAGACUCAUGGGUGUUUCUCGAAUAGGCACCUGAAAAACACAAGGAGCGUACACUGAGGCCAAAGAAGAGGCACCUGAGAAAACACAAGGAGCAUACAACUUUUCCAGUUGAAAUCUGUAAGCGUCUUGUACCAAUAUUCAACUGCCUUACUAACAGCAAUCUGUUGAUGCCAAAACAAAACUCAGAAUCCAAACGAGUGUCUUCACAGCAAAGUUUGGCAAAAUUGCCCCAAAAAUUUGCAAGAAAAUGGUUGAGAUUGGUGUCUACAUGGCAAGGUCAUCGGUUUGCAAUGGGAUCUACAGCUCAAGAGACACGAUCUCGCACACUUGGCCUGUUGCAGGGUACAUAUUUGAUGAAAAAUGCAAAGAGACAGGGAAAAAGUAAUGAAGACUGCAGUGGCACAAACAGAUGAGGAAAAACAGAGGAGAAAGAAAUAUUCAAGAAACAAAAGUUAGCAAGAGAAAAAUGAAAAGUGCAAAGUGAAGAGAAAAAGGGAAGGUGAAACCUAGAAGGCUGGUAGUUUUGAUUAGGAUGCUUAUCCUUAAAAAACUUUUAGAAAAACACAAAAAAUAACUUUUAACAGAGUAGAAAUAGUUUAACCCUUCUUAUUCAAUGUUUUCUGUUUGAAUAAAUGCAUUCUCUAUGAGAAAAAACUUAGAAGGCUUUUCUCAUUUCCUAAUAUCAGCCCAAAUUCACAUUAUCAGUGAAAGUAAUAUUUUGUAACUAUCAACGGUAUCCUAUAUGUCUAUAUAUCAUCUGAAUCAGCAAGAGCUAGUGAGUGCAACUUUGCAUUUAUAAUUCAAGUAUCUUUUUUCCAUCAAUACAUUUAACUGCUUGAAAGUAGGGAGAACUUACGAAAAAGAUGUUAUUUGCAAAUAUAUGAUAAAUAAGAGAAAUAAAAAGACAGGUUAUGGAAAACUGAUACCAAAGUUGCACUUUCUGCCCAUUAAGUAUUAAAAAAUUUAACCUUGGCUUAGUGUGCUUGUCUUAGUCCUAGAUAUAUCCUUCACUAAAAAAGCCACAAAAAAGCAAUUGUGUCCUUGUUACCAUGGAAAUGGCUAUUUAUAGAAAAAAUUGACUUCAUCAUUGAAAUCAGAAGGUUUGAUUUGAUUAUAAGAUACAUGAGAAAUUUCAGGUCGAUCUGAGUUCAGACCGGCCUUCAUUUCAGUCUGCGGUGAGGUGCUCACAUCAGAAAGGGCGAAAUGAAACUCAGGUCAACCUGAAUUUGUUUCGGUUGUUCAGGUCUGUCUGAAAUUUCAGGUUUACUUGAAAUCCGCAUGUGAGCAGAAACGUUUUUCAAGUCGGGGCGAAAUUAAACUCGCGGAGAAAAAUAAAUUGCAUUCUGGGAUGCAAAUUAGAGUUCUGGAAUACAUGUUUGAUAAAUUUGACGCCAUUUCACCAUUGAAUAGUGCAAGAUACAGCCUGUGCUUAUUUUGCCAAGAUCUAUUUGGCUUCUGUUGGACGUCAUGAAAACUCUCAGAAUAGAGAAACGGUACAUGUUGAAGAAGUUGAAACAUAAGUUGAACAAGCAAAAUAAAAUGAAGUUGCAAAGCCGAGACCAGAACAAACAAAAUAGAUUUCAACAACUGAUUUAAAAUAAACCUUUUCAUCAAAUUAUUGGGCGCCAUUAUUGUUUUGAUCUAAAUUUCGCCGUAAAUGCGCAUGUGCAAAACCCUGUGGCUUUUUCAAGCCGGUUUGAGAACAUCCAUGUGAGCGGGAGCAAAAUUAGCACGCACCAUCAAAUUUCAAGACGACCUGAGUUUUAGACCGGCCUGAAAUUGUUCAUGUGAGGGGGGUCUAAGUCUGAAAAUUAUUCUCUUUGCAUGCAAAACAGAAUUUUUAGAAUCUUGACCAGACCCUUGCCUUAAAUACUUUGUCUUUUAGAAUGGAAAUAUAAUGUAGCAAUUAGCAUCUUCAAUCUUUUGUUGACUUGCUUUUCUGUGUCUACGUUCCGGGCUCUCAGCCUGCAGCUAUGCACGCACUUUGGCUCACAACAGGAAUCUUUUGAAUUUCACCUUUGAUUUGCAGAGAAUCUCGGUCAGCACAAAAAAGCUUUUUCAUCAGAGACAUUUUUUCGUCUUUCCAAGAACAUUUACUUUCUUCACGAAAAGAUGUAAGUUCUCAUGUGGCAAAUGUUUGACAAUUUGUGCCACAUUAAAUAUUUUUUCAUACUGGCUAUAGACAUCUGCGCAACCAGCUGUACAUUUAGCAAUUUUCCUAAAAGUUGCUUUGCUUCAUUUUCUUUCUCUCAAUUCCCCAUAAAAUGGAUUUUGAUACAACAGAGCAUCUUUGUUGUCUAGGCAUGUUACAGGGGUUUGCAAGUCAUGAUGAACAUUUAUGUAUCCUUGUCAGCAGCUGUUUGCGAAUCUUGUUUCUGAAAAUUUCACAAGGUCUUUCAGAAAAAGUUUCUAAAGCAUGGAUGCUUCAACCAACUUUUCAUAAUUCUGACACAAAUAGAAUAAUCUAAAAAGCUGAGAACAUACAUAAGUAUUAUCCGCAAACCAUUUGAACCUCUCUUCUCUACAAAGGUGUACAAGACCGCUUUCUGCAAGGCAACCCAAGCGCAGAGAAUAUUUUUUGGGCUGUAUAUCAUAAAGAGCUGCUGAUUCACGUUCUUCUUCGACAUGAAGAUGAAAAUACUGACCAUCAAAUAAUCCUCCCUCUACCUGACUUGAUUGGAGAUUAAAUUUGUCAAAUCCUUUUUUUAUAUUUUUGCUAUUUCAAUGCAUUUGUGGUCUUUAGGGCUGGCCAGAACCUAUCACUCGAAGCAGUCCGUCUGCACCAGGGACCACUGUAAUGCAAGAUAGGAACUGCCUAAUAAGAUGCUUGGAAGUUGCUUUGUCUGCAAUGAUGUUAAGAGCUGGGAGAUAUCCGGUCUGGACAAGGCUUGUGCCAAUGAAUGUGGUAACUCUCCAAGCCAUGGCCUGCCAACAAAAGACCUAAAUGCUGCUGGAAAUUUUUGUGAAUGAUUCAGCUCCCUAGCAACUGACCCAUUCCUCCUCUCCACCAGGAUAUCAGCUUCAUAGUCAGUGUAAGGGCGUCUUUUCAAAAAUAGUGGCAACCACAGUCCCCCAAAUUCAUAUCAGCUCUCUCAUUCUUCUUUUCAAGCAAGCUUCUUUCUGCUUUUCUUUGCUCUUCAGCUUACAGGUUUUUCUUGUGGGUAAUAGAAUCUGUUAGAUGUGGCUUAAUACUUUUCUUCAAAUUUAUGAAGGCAAUUGCAACAUAAACAAAAACCAUUUCUUGGCUGAUCUUCCGAAAAGAGCCCAAACUUGGCUGAUCUUCCGAUGUCCGAAAGAGAUUAAGGAUAGGGGCAUGGAUGGAGACCUGUUCUGAUGCCUUGUUGCAUUUUUAUAUGGUGAGUAUAUUAUACAUGUGGUGAAUGUACUGGUAUUGCUGAGAGUUCUGCCAAUUCAUGGUUGGUUGUAAAUAAUGAUUCAAUUGACAGUAUUUCUUUUAUGUGCUAGCUAUCUGAUAUAUGAUGAAAUGCCAUUUUUAUUUCAGAGACUGAGUAGAUUAUGUGAUUUGCAAUUGCAAACUAAGUCAUUUAAUAAAUAUAGCAAGAACUGUAUUUGCUUUAAAAUCAUCAUAUGAUUCAACAUCAUAGUAGGCUUUUGUAUCUUUGUAGCCAAAUAUCUUUCUUGGAGUAAACCGAUGCUUUAUUUAGCUGAAGAAAUUAAAGACAUGUUUAUAUGAAACAAACUCUUAAUUCCAGAUUUCUUGCUUUGAAAUAACUAUUUGUUAUCUUUAUCUGAAAAUAAAAUCUGAAUGAUUAGUGAAGAACAAUUGGACAAUGAAUGACUUUUGUUUGUCUCCUGAUGAUUUCGGGUAUCUGUUUCCUGGAAGUCAUGCAGAACUUCUAGGCUUUAUCAUUAAGGCUGAUAUUGAAGAAAUAUUGCAACAGAGUCUUGCAGGAAUAUUGCAACAGAGUCUUGCAGUAUCAAUGAGAACAAUGGUGCUGUUGAUUGUUUGCAAAAACACAAUAACCACCUGGAAGCCAAAGUUCUGCACCAGGAUGGCAGAUAUUCCUUUGGAGAAACAGAAUAAAUAGGAGCUGAGCUAAGGGGUAUCUUGCAGCAAUAAUGGAAGCUUGCAGUCCACUCUUGCAAACUUGCAACCAACUUGUUUAGAAGGUUAGAGAUUGUCUCCAAAGGAAAUGAAACAAGAGGAAUUUCACAGUCUUGUUUGUUUUUCACAAACCAAUUAUAGCAUGUUGCUGCUCUUUUUAAAGAUGUUGUCGAAUUUGAUUUUGUUCUUGUAAUGUCUCUUUUUUCAAGGAAACUUGAACUACAAUACUUAGCUAAUUUUAGUCAAACGAAAGCAAAAGUUGCCAUAGUUCCACUUCCAUCAAUGUUGUUGUCUUUCUGUUAAGUUGAAAUUAACAAUGUUUUUCGAAUAAAGCUAACUAAGCUCAAGCAUUAAAUAAAAGCUUUAGCAUGUUCUAAAUAUUAUUGCCGUUAAUAAACAUUUCAAUUUUCCCAACUAGCUUGAUGAAUUGAUGCAAAAAACAGUACCCUAACAAUCCCCUUAUGGUUGACUACUGAUUAGGAUGAUGCUGUCAAUUUGAAAUGGAUAGAUGAGGACUAAAUAUUCUAGCCAUUUGAAAUAAAUCUGAUCAGUAGAGAAGUUUUAUAGAAGGAGAAUGAAUAUCCUUCUUAAAUAUCUUUUUCCUGCAUAAGAUGCAUAAGAUUUUUCCAUUAUUUUUGGACUGGUCUCUGUGGUGCAUAAAACAGGAAUUUCAGUGAAACAUGUGUGGUUCAGUGAAACUUCCUGGAUUACUGAAUGAUAUCUAAAUGAGUCAUGGCUGCUUUAUGUUUACUUUAAAAAUCAAGAAAGCUUUAUAUUGCUUUAUAUACCUUAAUAAAAUUAUGGCUUUUGCUUCUCUUUUUAUUCGUAUAUAUUUGCCAUUCGUAUUUAUUCGUAUGUAAAAGAAAUAUUCAAAACUGUUUGGAUUUUGCAGCGGGGCCAUAUAUCCCUUUCAACCAUUAGAGGAACUGAAUGAGCCUAAGUUGGUGUAAACGAAACCAAUGUUUAGUGUUUGAUUCUAAGCAGUUCUCACAAAUAAUGCUCAGCAUUUUACUAAGAAAUUGUUUCUGUUUCUCGACAAGCAUUUAAAAUUUUUCCUUUUUAGUCCUUAUGGCAGAAAGCUUUGAAAAAGGGGGAAUUGUUAUUGACCCCGAACAGGAAACUGACUCAAGUGAUGACGGGUAGGAAUAGAAGAUUCAGAUGAUGAUGUGCCACUUGCAGAUUCGAUUCCUUUGUCUGAAGUAGCAAAGAACGAUGUUCCAGAGCAUGUUUAUUGCUGGAGAGCAGAUAGACCACCACCUCCUCAGAUGAGUGUGAAUUCAAAGGAAAUUUAGAGGCUGAUGAACGGGUUUACACAAUCCUAUCGAUUACUUCAAGUCCUUCAUGGAUGACGAAAUGGCCCAGCUGAUUGCAGAUCAAACAAAUAUGUAUUCAGUACAGUGUGAUGUUGCCAAAGGGAGCAUUGCAACUUCAAAAAACAGAGGUAGAACGGCUCAUCUGUCUUUCUCGAGAUGUGCAUUGUCCAAAUGCCUAGAUAUUCAAUGUAUUGGGAAGCUGAAACCAGGAACACCCCAAUUGCUAGCUUAAUGAGCAAGGACAGCUUUAAGAAAUUGAAGGGCUUCCUGCACUUCAACGACAACUCAAAAGCAAAACUGACGAUACUUAUGAUAAGCUGUACAAGAAAAGACCACGGCUG